AUUGAACGCUGGCGGCAUGCCUUACACAUGCAAGUCGAACGGUAACAGGUCUUCGGAUGCUGACGAGUGGCGAACGGGUGAGUAAUACAUCGGAACGUGCCCGAUCGUGGGGGAUAACGCAGCGAAAGCUGUGCUAAUACCGCAUACGAUCUACGGAUGAAAGCGGGGGAUCUUCGGACCUCGUGCGGACGGAGCGGCCGAUGGCAGAUUAGGUAGUUGGUGGGGUAAAGGCUCACCAAGCCUGCGAUCUGUAGCUGGCCUGAGAGGACGACCAGCCACACUGGGACUGAGACACGGCCCAGACUCCUACGGGAGGCAGCAGUGGGGAAUUUUGGACAAUGGGCGCAAGCCUGAUCCAGCCAUGCCGCGUGCAGGAUGAAGGCCUUCGGGUUGUAAACUGCUUUUGUACGGAACGAAAAGGCUUUCUCGAAUAAAGAGGGCUCAUGACGGUACCGUAAGAAUAAGCACCGGCUAACUACGUGCCAGCCGCCGCCGUAA
rnacentral:rRNA from 1 species